GGGCUGAUAGCUCAGACUGGGAGAGUGCCGCAUUGGCUAUGCGGAAGCCGCGGGUUCAAAUCCCGCUCAGUCCACCU
rnacentral:tRNA from 2 species